rnacentral:rRNA from 1 species
UACGAAGGGGGCUAGCGUUGCUCGGAAUCACUGGGCGUAAAGCGCACGUAGGCGGACUCUUAAGUCGGUGGUGAAAUCCUGGAGCUCAACUCCAGAACUGCCUUCGAUACUGAGAGUCUCGAGUCCGAGAGAGGUGAGUGGAACUGCGAGUGUAGAGGUGAAAUUCGUAGAUAUUCGCAAGAACACCAGUGGCGAAGGCGGCUCACUGGCUCGGUACUGACGCUGAGGUGCGAAAAGCGUGGGGAGCAACAGG